AUCUGCUCCUUCUGUUCCCUCCUUUAUCCCGUGUGACCGACUUCAGCCCUUGAGAGAAAAUAACUGAGGGGCUCAAGCAGGCAGGAAAGGUGAGCAUCUGCUUUACCUAGACUCAUCGUUGCUUCUCCAGGGACCAUCCAUGCCCUCAACAGAAACCUCUGGCUGAAAGCUUCUACAGGUGCUGUCCGAAGAGAACUGCACAGGCAGGAGGCAGGAAGAGAGCAGGAAACACAAAGUCUUCCUGAUUCAGAGGGAAGGACCGAGGACUGGCAUGGAGACGACUUGACAAAUGACCUACUCAUGGCUAGCUAGAUUCCGGGCCCACCACUUCUCCUUCCUGAGCCACAGCUUAUACAUUAUGGAGCUGAUCUGGUCUCUGGUAAUGAGUUUAUGGAUGACUUUUUCUUUGUAUUGUUUUAUCUUUACUUUCCAUAUU